UCCCGCCUCUAGACCAACUUAGUUGUGAGAAAGUCUGUAUCUUUAGAGGAGGUAGCCAUAUGACUGUAUCAUUUAUUGAUAUUCUCCUAAUUAGUGAUUAACUGACGGUUCUUAGCAGGAUUGGGCUAAAUGCUGAAAUAAAAACCUGAGGUGAAGAACUAUCUUUCCCUGCAGUAGAAGUCCAUGUGAGAGGAGAGAGCUGUAUGAUACUAGAAGGACAAGACACCAAUAAGGGGCUCACAGCAGGUGGGCUUUUCUCCUAUCCAGAGCACCAACUGAAACAGACAGAAUGAACAGAGCACGAGGACUGUGUUUCACUUUACUACUACUGGGGUGUGUACAUGGGAGCAAGUCUCCUCAAAGAGAAGUGGUAUUCAGUAGAGGGAUCCAACUCUUUGUUGAAGGUUUGAACCCUUCUAAUCCCUCUGUAGUAAUCCUCUCCUCAUUUGGGCACAACCCUGGUGCUUCAGCUACACUGGUGUGUAUACUCAGUGGUUUAAAAACACACCAUUUGUUGGACAUCAUUUGGUGGAUCAACAACACAGUGGUAACCCCUGAGAACAAUGCCAUUUGGAGUUCCAGGGGAAGUGAUGGCACGUACACAACUACCGGACUGUGGACUAUGUCUGGAAAGGACUGGAAUCCCUAUAGUAACUAUGAGUGUGGAACCAGACAUGAAGGAAAGCAUUAUAGAAAUGGUACACAGCCCUCACUUUGCAUGGAUUUUACUUGAUUACAAAUAUUUGUUAACCUAUCAAAAAUUAUCCUUAGCAUUUCAUGUACAAUCUUUACUAUUAUUAAAGUAUUCAUGAUGUUUCUUGAGUAUUUUAUUGAAAGAUCAGGUAGCCUAGUGGUUAGAGCUUUGGAAUAGUAACUGAAAGGUUGCAAGUUCAAAUCCCUGAGUUGACAAGGUACAAAUCUGUUGUUCU